GACGAACGCUGGCGGCGUGCCUAAUACAUGCAAGUCGAACGAACCGCGACUGAGUGCUUGCACUUGGUCAAGGUGAGUGGCGAACGGGUGAGUAACACGUGGGUAACCUACCUCAUAGUGGGGGAUAACAGUCGGAAACGACUGCUAAUACCGCAUAGGACAUAGGAUCACAUGAUCCAGUGAGGAAAGGUGGCGCAAGCUAUCGCUAAGAGAUGGACCCGCGGUGCAUUGGCUAGUUGGUAGGGUAAAGGCCUACCAAGGCGAUGAUGCAUAGCCGACCUGAGAGGGUGAUCGGCCACAUUGGGACUGAGACACGGCCCAAACUCCGACGGGAGGCAGCAGUAGGGAAUCUUCCGCAAUGGACGCAAGUCUGACGGAGCAACGCCGCGUGAGUGAAGAAGGUCUUCGGAUCGGAAAGCUCUGUUGUUAGAGAAGAACAGCGCAUAGAGUAACUGCUAUGAGUGUGACGGUAUCUAACCAGAAAGCCACGGCUAACUACGUG
rnacentral:rRNA from 1 species